UACGGAGGAUGCAAGCGUUAUCCGGAUUCAUUGGGUUUAAAGGGUGUGUAGGCGGGUUUGUAAGUCAGUGGUGAAAUCUUGCCGCUUAACGGUAAAAUUGCCAUUGAUACUGCAGAUCUUGAAUAUGGAUGAGGUAGGCGGAAUGUGUAGUGUAGCGGUGAAAUGCAUAGAUAUUACACAGAACACCGAUUGCGAAGGCAGCUUACUAAACCAUUAUUGACGCUGAUGCACGAAAGCGUGGGGAGCAAACAGG
rnacentral:rRNA from 1 species